CAUAGAGCUCUCCAUUUCAUA
rnacentral:misc_RNA from 1 species